rnacentral:lncRNA from 1 species
CAGGAAAACAGCCAAGGGUCCAGGGCCAUGUGUCUGAGCGAGAGCGUGACUCCCAGGUGCACUCGCUGCGCUAGCCCUGCAGCCUCUGCAAGGAAGGCACCGCCCACGCGGCCCGCGCAGACUCCUGCUGCGUCCACUGGAUCCUGAGCGCCAUAGGUAGGGGCGGCCCACGCGUGGCCUUCAUUCUCCUUGGUCCGCCCGUGGGCACUGCUUAGCCCUUCAGCGCCACCGGAACGAACGUCUGGGCGCUUUGGAGCUGCAGAGGCCAAGGACGGCUGCAGCCCCAGGAGGAGCCCUGUGGAUGGCGGCUUAUUGGUCAUGUGACUUUUCACCAUCCAGGCAUGAGGCUGAGUCUGAUUCCUAUGGAUGUAGAAACACUUUCCAAAUUACAGAUCAUUAUUCAUCGCAGUAUAUAUUUUGAAGAGAGAUCUGACACCCAUUGAUUUGAAAAGCGUAAUACUAUAGUAAAACCGAGUGAGCAGGACAUCCUCUUCUAAGGAUCAGAAUUUUCAUCCUCCAUCCUCCUGGGGUGAUUUGCCUAACAGCUCUAAGGAAUUGUGAAAAAGCAUAGUUAGUCUCCAGACCUUAGCCUUUUUUGUUAUAAGAAAUUUUAAAAGCUUCCUUCUAGGAUGAAAU